GAUGAACGCUGGCGGCGUGCCUAAUACAUGCAAGUCGAGCGAACGGACGAGAAGCUUGCUUUCCUGAUGUUAGCGGCGGAAGGGUGAGUAACACGUGGACAACCUACCUAUAAGACUGGGAUAACUUCGGGAAAUCGGAGCUAAUACCGGAUAAUAUUUUGAACUGCAUGGUUCAAAAGUGAAAGACGGUCUUUCUGUCACUUAUAGAUGGAUCCGCGCUGCAUUAGCUAGUUGGUAAGGUAACGGCUUACCAAGGCAACGAUGCAUAGCCGACCUGAGAGGGACAUCGGCCACACUGGAACUGAGCCACGGUCCAGACUCCUACAGGAGGCAGCAGUAGAGAAUCUUCCGCAAUGGGCGAAAGCCUAACGGAGCAACGCCGCGUGAAUGAUGAAGCUCUUAGGAGCGUAAAACUAUGUUAUUCGGACGGAACAUAUGUGUAAGUAACUGUGCACAUCUUGACGGUACCUAAUCAGAAAGCCACGGCUAACUACGUG
rnacentral:rRNA from 1 species